ACCGUACUAGAGAAAUGGUUAACUCGUCGGCCUUCUAUAAUUCCUGCAAGAUCAGGAAGCCGAAGAUUCUCGGUUCGAGUCCGGGGUACGGUG